GUUGAAGAAUUAGCUGGAGCUCCCAGGCUGAGAAGGAGGAAGAGGAGAAGGAGCGGGAAGACCUGGACAGAGGAAGCAGUAAACAUGGAGGUUUGGAAAUGUGAAGAAUGGAAUUCCUUAGAUGCAUCUAUGAGUUAAGGAUUUUUGUUAGCUUUACUUAAGAUUCUCCUCUCCCACCUCCAAAAGAGAUCCCAACACAAACUCAUCAUUCAUAAUGGAGAAGCAUCCACUGCACACGCCUACUACUACCAGACUAGUUUUUUCAUCUCUGAAAAAAGGGAACAGAACACUACGGUCUAGAGAGAUGUGUCACAAGCACUUCA